rnacentral:rRNA from 1 species
CGAUCUGGCUCAGGAUGAACGCUAGCUACAGGCUUAACACAUGCAAGUCGAGGGGCAGCAUGAUCAAAGCUUGCUUGAUUGAUGGCGACCGGCGCACGGGUGAGUAACGCGUAUCCAACCUUCCCCCUAGUAGGGCAUAGCCCGGCGAAAGUCGGAUUAAUACCCUAUGUUUUCCAAUGAGGACAUCUGAGCUGGAACAAAGAUUCAUCGCUAGGGGAUGGGGAUGCGUCCGAUUAGCUUGCCGGCGGGGUAACGGCCCACCGGGGCGACGAUCGGUAGGGGUUCUGAGAGGAAGGUCCCCCACACUGGUACUGAGACACGGACCAGACUCCUACGGGAGGCAGCAGUGAGGAAUAUUGGUCAAUGGGCGUAAGCCUGAACCAGCCAAGUAGCGUGCAAGGAUGACGGCCCUAUGGGUUGUAAACUGCUUUUAUGCGGGGAUAAAGUUCACCACGUGUGGUGUUUUGCAGGUACCGCAUGAAUAAGGACCGGCUAAUUCCGUGCCAGCAGCAGC